UCACCGGGUAGACAGAAGUUA
rnacentral:miRNA from 1 species